GCUCGCGGUGCACUGGCUGCGCCCUCCCAGGGCUGAUGCUGCGUCCUGCUCCGCUGUUCUGGGACGUCGGGGGCAAAAGUGGAGGAGACGGGAGAGUCCGGGCAGAAAAAGCAGGACGCGCGUCCCAGGUGAGGAAACUGACGGCUUGUGAUUGAAAUGAAACAACCUGUCCCCCGCCUUACUGCGAAUAAAAUCGCCCAGCCCAAAUUUCCCGUCGGCGUCCCUCGCGUAAGUUCCAGACCCGGCGGGCGAGCGUGGUGCUAACUCCAGCCCUGGCUCUGCCGCGCUUGCUAUGUGACCUCCAGUCAGCCGCUUCUCCCAGUCCUAGCCGAGGUCUUAGAGCUCCGGCGCCUGCAGAGUCGCCUACUUGAUAUAGACUAAACAAGACUUUCCGGGGAUGCCUGCGACACCCAUCAGAGGGCAGAAAUCUGUACACCUGCGGAUGCACUUUCAUAGAGGAAGACCAUAUGGCCUUGGCAUGACCAACGACAUCUAAAAACUAAAAUUACUCUGAGCUGGAAGAAUACAGUUGGAGACACAGCCGGAAAGGCUCUCCCAAUCCGAGGCUGUCCUGGGGCGCGACCCAUACCCCACCCUUGGCCCUUCCCCCACAGUCCUCCAACCUUCUUGCUUGGAGUCUGAUCAGCGAAGGGCCCUCGCUCCUGCUGCGGAAGGAGGCUCCAGGAUGCGAGAAGGGAGCAUUCCGCUGUUUAGAAAUUAGUAUCUCGGGGCGCCUGGGUGGCUCAGUCGUUAAGCGUCUGCCUUCGGCUCAGGUCAUGAUCCCAGGGUCCAAGGAUCGAGCCCCAUAUCGGGCUCCCUGCUCAGCUGGAAGCCUGCUUCUC